rnacentral:rRNA from 1 species
ACUUAAAUUGAAGAGUUUGAUCAUGGCUCAGAUUGAACGCUGGCGGCAGGCCUAACACAUGCAAGUCGAGCGGUAGCACAGAGAGCUUGCUCUCGGGUGACGAGCGGCGGACGGGUGAGUAAUGUCUGGGAAACUGCCUGAUGGAGGGGGGUAACUACUGGAAACGGUAGCUAAUACCGCAUAACGUCGCAAGACCAAAGUGGGGGACCUUCGGGCCUCAUGCCAUCAGAUGUGCCCAGAU